CCUACGGGUGACAGCAGUAGGGAAUUUUGCGCAAUGGGCGAAAGCCUGACGCAGCCACGCCGCGUGAUCGAGACGCCCUUCGGGGUGUAAAGAUCUGUUAGUGGGGACGAAACUUGACGGUACCCACAGAGGAAGCACCGGCUAACUCCGUGCCAGCAGCCGCGGUAAUACGGGGGGUGCAAGCGUUGUCCGGAAUCAUUGGGCGUAAAGAGUUCGUAGGCGGCACGUAAAGUCUGGUGUUAAAGGCAGAGGCUCAACUUCUGUACGGCACUUGAUACUGGCGAGCUAGAAUGCGGUAGAGGUAAGGGGAAUGCGUGGUGUAGCGGUGAAAUGCUUAGAUAUCAGGAGGAACAUCGGUGGCGAAGGCGCUUUACUGGGCCGUAAUUGACGCUGAGGAACGAAAGCGAGGGUAUCAAACGGGAUUAGAUACCCUAGUAGUC
rnacentral:rRNA from 1 species